UGCUUCCAUUUGUGUACCAGUUUGGA
rnacentral:misc_RNA from 1 species